rnacentral:rRNA from 1 species
UACGUAGGGCGCAAGCGUUAUCCGGAAUUAUUGGGCGUAAAGAGCUCGUAGGCGGUUUGUCGCGUCUGCCGUGAAAAUCCGGGGCUCAACCCCGGACGUGCAUCCGAUACUCCCGGACUGGAGGCAGGUAGGGGAGAGCGGAAUUCCCGGUGUAGCGGUGAAAUGCGCAGAUAUCGGGAAGAACACCGGUGGCGAAGGCGGCUCUCUGGACCUGUCCUGACGCUCAGGCGCGAAAGCUAGGGGAGCGAACAGG